GACGUAGGGCGCGAGCGUUGUCCGGAUUUAUUGGGCGUAAAGAGCUCGUAGGCGGCUUGUCGCGUCGACUGUGAAAACCCGCGGCUCAACUGCGGGCCUGCAGCCGAUACGGGCAGGCUAGAGUUCGGUAGGGGGAGACUGGAAUUCCUGGUGUAGCGGUGAAAUGCGCAGAUAUCAGGAGGAACACCGGUGGCGAAGGCGGGUCUCUGGGCCGAAUA
rnacentral:rRNA from 1 species